rnacentral:snoRNA from 1 species
AACAAUGUUUUUAAUUUAUUGACACCCAGAGUCACGGCACUACCUUUUCUUCUAUGGUUGUGACAAACAGGUCAAUCUGCCAAGUUUUCCUGUUAACGUGCUCGCGGUAGUCAUAGAAGAACUAUCUCUGUCUUUUCAGAGAUGAGCUGUAUGGGGCUCUCAUUUGU